rnacentral:rRNA from 1 species
AUGAAUGGUGAGAGAAGAGUCCAUUGGAUAUCCUGGCAGAAGAUGUGUGCUAGUAAGAGAGAUGGUGGCAUGGGGUUCCGAAACUUCGAGGCCUUCAACCAAGCUUUGCUGGCCAAGCAAGCUUGGCAUAUUUUGCAAUUCCCAACCUCUCUAUGUGCAAGAGUUCUCAAGGCUCGUUACUUCAAGGAGGACACGAUCCUCUCUGCUUCCUGUCCGGCGGUGGGCUCUUUCACUUUUCGAAGCAUCCUGCACGGCCGUGACCUUCUUCGUGAGGGCAUCAUAUGGAGAGUUGGCUCGGGGAUGAACAUAAACAUCCACCAUGACGCCUGGAUCCCACACAGCGGCAGCACGAGACCCCUUGGGUAA